AGACAUUUGAAGCUGACCACCAAGUAGUAUUUUUAGUAUUAACAUUAUAGGCUUUUUGUCCCAAGCAAGUUAGCUCACCUACAGACGUGUUAUACAUUGUUCCUUUCCUGGCUAUACAAACAUGACCUAUAAUGUAGGUUUUUAACCGCCAUUCCGAUUUACUUCUAGUACUUACUUGAUGAUCAGACUGGAAAGGUAUCUGUUGUUC